GCAUCAAUGGUCUAGUGGUUAGGAUUCAAUCCUUCCAAGAUUGAGGGGGGGGUUCGAUUCCCUCUUGAUGCA